rnacentral:snoRNA from 1 species
UUCUCACCUAAACCCAAGAAUUACUGUUUCUUAUAGCGGUGGUUUAAACAGAGGUGCAAACAGCAAGUGAAUCUCGUUGCCUUUGCGGGGCUGUGGCCAUGCCCCUCAAAGUAAAUUUGGAGGCUCUAUAGCC